UACGGAGGGUGCGAGCGUUGUUCGGAAUCACUGGGCGUAAAGCGCGUGUAGGCGGCCCAUUAAGUCUGAUGUGAAAGCCCGGGGCUCACCCCCGGAAGUGCAUUGGAAACUGAUGGACUCGAGUCCCGGAGAGGAGAGUGGAAUUCCUGGUGUAGCGGUGAAAUGCGUAGAUAUCAGGAGGAACACCGGUGGCGAAGGCGGCAUCCUGGACCAACACUGACGCUGAGUGAGCGAAAGCCAGGGGAGCAAACGGG
rnacentral:rRNA from 1 species